UACGAAGGGGGCUAGCGUUGCUCGGAAUCACUGGGCGUAAAGCGCACGUAGGCGGCUUUCUAAGUCAGGGGUGAAAUCCUGGAGCUCAACUCCAGAACUGCCUUUGAUACUGGAGAGCUUGAGUCCGGAAGAGGUGAGUGGAACUCCGAGUGUAGAGGUGAAAUUCGUAGAUAUUCGGAGGAACACCAGUGGCGAAGGCGGCUCACUGAUCCAUUACUGACGCUGAGGUGCGAAAGCGUGGGGAGCAAACAGG
rnacentral:rRNA from 1 species